GGGUAACAUGCCCUAAGGUGGGGGAUAAUCUCGGGAAACUGAGGAUAAUACCCCAUAGGUCUGAUAUGCUGGAAUGCUUUCAGGCCGAAAACUCCGGUGCCUUAGGAUUGGCCUGCGGUCUAUCAGGCUGUAGUGGGUGUAAUGGACCCACUAGCCCGUGACGGAUAUGGGCCUUGAGAGAGGGAGCCCAGAGAUGGACUCUGAGACAUGAGUCCAGGCCCUACGGGGCGCAGCAGUCGCGAAAACUUCGCAAUGGGGGCAACCCCGACGAGGGAAUUCCAAGUGCCCAGCACUUUGUGUUGGCUGUUCUCCUGUCUAAAAAACAGGAGGAGUAAGGGGCGGGUAAGACGGGUGCCAGCCGCCGCGGUAAUACCCGCGCCCCUAGUGGUGGUCGAUAUUAUUGAGCCUAAAACGUCCGUAGCCGKUCUUCUAAAUCCUUGGGUAAAUCGGGCAGCUUAACUGUCCGAAGUCCGGGGAGACUGGGAGACUUGGGACCGGGAGAGGUCAGAGGUACUUCUGGGGUAGGGGUAAAUCCUGUAAUCCUGGAAGGACCACCGGUGGCGAAGGCGUCUGACUAGAACGGAUCCGACGGUGAGGGACGAAGCCCUGGGGCGCAAACGGGAUUAGAUACCCCGGUAGUCCAGGGUGUAAACGCUGCGGGCUUGGUGUUGGGGGUCCUUAGUGGGCGCCCAGUCCCGGAGAGAGUUGUUAAGCCUGCUGCUUGGGGAGUAUGUCCGCAAGGAUGAAACUUAA
rnacentral:rRNA from 1 species